UUAGCUACGCUUUCGGGGGGGGGGGGAGGAUAAACACCACGAUCCGGGUACCAGGAGCCAUUGCACUCCAGAUGUGCUGAGCCUGUGAUCUCCUCCAAUGUGGGAAACUUGAGUGCAUACUUUGUGAUAGUGGGGAACUGUUUUUGCAGACCCCCU
rnacentral:snRNA from 1 species